UACGGGGGGGGCAAGCGUUGUUCGGAAUUACUGGGCGUAAGGGGCUCGUAGGCGGCCAACUAAGUCAGACGUGAAAUCCCUCAGCUUAACUGGGGAACUGCGUCUGAUACUGGAUGGCUUGAGAUUGGGAGAGGGAUGCGGAAUUCCAGGUGUAGCGGUGAAAUGCGUAGAUAUCUGGAGGAACACCGGUGGCGAAGGCGGCAUCCUGGACCAACACUGACACUGAGGAGCGAAAGCCAGGGGAGCAAACGGG
rnacentral:rRNA from 1 species